rnacentral:piRNA from 1 species
UGCUUUGGUCGGGCUUCUCUUUGUGAGG